rnacentral:misc_RNA from 1 species
GUAUUGAGUUUUAUUAACUAACUGUUCAAACAGUAGUUUAUUGAUAUUUUUUUAAUCAGAAAUAAAAAAGUACCUAAAACACAGCUUUUACAGCACAACCUGUUCAAAAAGAACACAUCUUGCAUAAAACCUGUAUUUUCUGCACUCGUAAAUAGGGAAAAAACAUUUAAUGAUCCUUCCGCAGGUUCACCUACGGAAA